rnacentral:rRNA from 1 species
AACGAACGCUGGCGGCAUGCCUAACACAUGCAAGUCGAACGAGACCUUCUGGUCUUUUUGCGCACGGGUUCGUAACGCGUGGGAACCUUCCUUUAGGUUCGGACUACCUUAGAGCAAUUUGAGCUAAUUCCGGAUGAUGUCUUCUGACCAAAGAUUUAUCUCCUUUAGAUUGUCCCGCUUUGGAUUAGCUAGUUGGUGGGUUAAAGGACUACCAAGGCGACGUUCCAUAGCUGGUCUGAGAGGAUGAUCAGCCACACUGGGACUGAGACACGGCCCAGACUCCUACGGGAGGCAGAAGGGGGGAAUAUGGGACAAUGGGCGAAAGCAUGAGCUAGCAAGGCCGCGCGAGUGAUGAAGGAGUUAGGGUUGUAAAGCUGUUUUAACCGAGAUGAUAAUGACAGUAUCGGGAGAAUAAGCGACGGCUAACUACGUG